GUAUAUAUAUGCAUAUAUAUAUAUAUAUAUAUAUAUAUAUAUAUAUAUAUAUAUAUAUAUAUAUAUAUAUAUAUAUAUAUAUAUAUAUAUUAAAAAUUGGGCGCAAAGAAUGCGUUUUAAGCUCUUUAGAUGGAUAAAGCGGAAGAUGUUUGCAUUCUCAAUAAGCAUUCCAACGUAGCUGAUAGAGGUGACCUUCAGUGUGUGAUAUAAAGAAAGAUCCCUGAAUGUCCAUGACUGCGCAAAGAAAAUUUAUUUUUUGUCCCCUUUGCUCUCUCAACAUUUCCCUCCAAAAUAUGGUAUUCCAUUUUAUUAUUCCGUAGUAGCCUAAUCUAGACCUAGAUUUUUUCCUAUUAAUGUCCGAUCUUGAUCUACUGUGGUUCUGGGGCCUGUGCAGCGUGUGUGUCCGGCCGUCUUUCUUCACCAGCUCGCCAAGCUGUCAUGCUUACAAAGGAGGGAAUUAAAAUAAGAGAUUUAAAAAGCCAAAAAUUGGCACUGAAGCACAGGCCUUGAACCUCCUUUUGAUGCCAGACUCAGGCUUCUGUCCUCGCCUCCUGCCCCUUGUUGUCUGCCUCUCGGUAUUGAUUACGACAUCUACCAAGCUUCUAUUUAAAAAGAAUAUGUAUGGAGUAUAUAGAUAUAUAUGUAUAUAACAUAGGCAAAUUAUAUGAUAGGUAAAGAAAGUAUAUAUGUGAAAUUGCACAGUUGAAAUUGAAUCCGAGGAGAUAGCGAACGAUUGCCAAUAGAAGGUGAAAACAAGGAGAAAUUGUAACAAUUUCAGCCCCAGGACAGAAUGCCCGGCUGGCCUCUUGCCUUCUAAAGCCCCUUUUUCUCAGUGUUUCCUGCGUCAUUCUCCAUAUUGUGUGUUCGUGUGUCUGUGUCUCUCGGUCCGGUUCCUUCCCUUUUGAACUCGGAACACUAACGAAAGACCUCAUAUAGUUCGCCCUUGUCCCUCUUCUUUAUAUAAGUGAUACAUACACAUUUGACUCUGGAACAGGAUGCUUUCAAGUACAAACAACAGAGAAGCCCCCAGACUUGGAUGUCUUCGAUAAUUAAAAUAAACAAAAAAAAAAAGGCAGAAAUAAUAAUAGAUGGCAUCUUUUUCUAUGUCACUAAUUUCACUAUAUAAUAUAUAUAUUAAAAAGAUAAAUCCAUAACGUUCCUACUACGUAUAUACAGUACUAUAUAUGUUUUGGGUCUGUUCUCCAAUUACAAUGUGCUUCCGUCACGUAUUAUAUUAGAGGAAAGCAGCCAAAUUGGAUCCCCGUUUCUCUCCAGCAGAUGAGUGAGCGCCACCGUGCAAUAGAAGCCACAGAUCUUUGUUUUCUCAUUUUUUCCAAUAAUUUUUAAUUCUAUUCUUCCUUCUCUUCCAUCAUAUUCCAAAUUAGAUUUUAACGGUGAUUUGUAUCUUUCUGUAGCUAGGAAUAUAAGGCUAAGGUUUAUAUGAUUACCUUAUUGUAUAUUUUCUUGUACGGAUCAAUAAUGAUUAAUAAAAACCAAACCAUUCAACCCAAGCCAGCUAUUGGUUGUCCCCGCCUGUCUUGUCAUGGCCUCCUGUGGUGUGGUCACUCAAGCGGGAGUAAAAGGUUUCAUCAUCUCCUGUUUAAGGAUGUAUUAACUUACCACGGAUUUCCAUUUGUCCAAUAAAGACGAAAAAAAAGGACAAAAAUGUGCUCGAGGUUUCUCUUAACCAAAAUUUGAGACGGAAAGAGAAAGCGUCUGAAUUUUUUUUUCUUUUUUUUCAGAGAAGGGGUUAAGGAAGAGUGAAAUGAUUGCUGGUUCUGGUAACAAGUAGCAUUGAUAGUAGAUGUAGUAGUAAUGGUGUGUGGUAGCAGUAGUAGUAAAGAUGGUGGUAGUGGCGGUGGGACUAGAAGCAUUAACGCGUAGUGGUGUUUGGUAGUGCUGGGGAUAGAAGUGAUAGUCGUGGUAAUAGUAGCGAUGGUCAUGGUGCUAGUCGGGGUAGUCAUGACGUCAGUAGCAGUGGUGAUCGUGGUGAGAGUAGCAGUGAUGGUCAUGGCAUUAGUGGCAGCGGUGGUCAUGGUGCUAGUAAUAGUGAUGGUCAUGGUGUUAGUCGUGGUGAUUAUGUAAUAGUUCUAGAAUAAUUAACAAAAACCUGUAACAGCCAACAACUCAUUGUCAUGAACCACUUACAAAGCAGACAGCCACACAAAAUUACAUCACUUCACGCAAAAAAAAAAAAAAAAACACCACUGACAACUAGAGUCCUGCUUGACCACUGAGGAGAUGCAGUGUAAAUUAAUGAUUGUGAACGAAGCAUUAUAACACGUUCAUGAGUCCUUCCCACCACUUGCCGAACCUUUUAACUAUAAUGGCGGCCUCUCAACGUCUCAUGUGUUAGGCUGCUACUUGACCGUAGUGCAUGAUCAUUUUCCGCAUUAGAAAAAAAAAAGAAUAAGGGAAUUCCGGCACGGUAGCCACCAUCUACCUCUCGCAAAAGAUGGAAAAAAAAAUACUGUAAGGAAGCAUGUAAGGGGGUUGAUCACUGCUAAGUAAUCACGGGAAUGUCUUUAAUAGAAACCGCGAGAUAUAAUUCCAUGGCUCACUCCCCGCAUGCUCUUUAAUUACACCACGUGAAUACCUUCAAAUACUCUCUUAUACUCGUAAAUGUAUGUCUCCCACUCACGGUGAUCAAGGGAAGCUCAGAGCUCAAAAUACGAGGAUGAGAACCAUUAAGCUAAGGAAUUCAAAGCCGCGGUAAGACUCUGAGCCAAGUUUGAUCCGCCGCCUCACGUCGCAUGUCGAUGCAGAUACAUAUAGAUUAUCUCAGGCACCGGCGUUUCAGUAUCGCCAUAUCUUGACUUUUUAUUUGGCUCUGGUGGUAGUUACUGAGGUUUUCAAGGGUGCUUUAAUGAUUUAAGUGAUAGUUUAGAGAAGAUUCAGUGUCGUUAGGACAAUAAGACCAUAACAAAUUGGCAAAUUAUCUUUGUGACCUUUGAAAAUAUUCUUUAUCAAGCUUUAUUAGAAGUUACUGAGAUUUUCAAGGUUGGUUCAAUGAUUUUAAUGAUAGUUUAACGAAGAUUUUGCUUCAUCAGGUCAAUAAAGCCAUGACAAAUUGGCUAAUCAUCUUCGUGGCUUCUGAAAAUCGUCCUUAUGAGAGCUCUGAGGGUUUCAAAAUAAGGAAAUUGAGAUGUAACAUGCCUGGUGGCGUCACUUAAAAGUCUUGUAACCUGAUUCAGUCCUGUUAUUGCUACGAUCUAUUGUUAACCCUUGCGCUACCAUACAAAUUGUCUCCAUUAUUUAUCAGACACCGUUUUUUGUGGUGAGCUCUCGUAAAUAUUUCUCUGCAGUGUAAAGACAAAAUUAACCGUUUGUUUUCUCUCUUUUCUCUCAUGUGUCUCCAUGCAAGGAAUAGUUAGAGUACUAGGGAGAUUAACAAAGGACACACGAAAUAAAAAGUGGCUGCAUGUAACUACAUAAUGUUAUAAGACUAUAGGAAACUUUGUCUGGCAGUGGAAGCUAUUAAAUGGGAAGAAGAAUUAUAAUCAGUACGUUGCUCUGUAUUAUGGCUUUUAACCACCAAACCGCCAUAGUUGUUACACAGACACUGCGAGUCGUCUCUAUCCAUAAUCCUCAGUACAAGGUUCAUAAUCUUUAUCAUCCGAAGCAUAUUUGAAUUUUCUUAGUAAAGAUGUUCCCGUGUCUCUUAAUAUAUUACCUUGGCAAUGGAAUUUAGAUGUUUAUGUAUUAGCAGAGAGAGAGAGAGAGAGAGAGAGAGAGAGAGAGAGAGUCGGUGCCUCGAAUCCCACGUCACCGAGUUUCUAGUUUCAUCAGGAGCAUCAGAGUAAAUUGGACAGCAAAGGAGGAAGGUAUGGCUGGCGCAGCUGCUUAAACUACCUCCAUUAUCUGGUGUUAGAAAAUACUGGCGGCUGAACAGUGGUGGUGAUGGUGAUGGUGCUCGAGGAAACAGUGAGCCUUGUGAUGCCUUACCUGGAGCGUCACGAGUCUGCAAGGGAGGGUGAAGCAAACUGAACGUAAGACUGUGCACGGGACGGAACCUCUUUAAGGAAACUGACGGAGACGUAGGAGAAACCUGUCAAGAUGACGUAGCGUCAUGCAUUAACUUUUCCGGCUGCUGAAAGAACUUGAUGAAUCUACACAGCAAGACCUCUGCAUCCUACCUCUUUAUAACACGGCGUCAUCCAGGUGUAUAGAGCCAAGGAAAAAUUGCUAUGCCUCUAAAUAUGCGCCUUUAUAAAAAAAAUAAUAAAUGUAUGGAGAGAGAGAGAGAGAGAGAGAAAUGUAUGGAGAGAGAGAGAGAGAGGGGGGGAGGGGGGAGGGGGGGGCAGGUAUGUCAGCGUCUCUAAUAAUGAAUUUAGUUGUAAAAAGGCGCAUAUUAUUUAGAGGCUGGAGCAGCUCAUAAGUUUUAAUAAUGACUGCUUCUGUCUGCUCGUGAAAACUGCUUCCUACUGCUGAUUAUUCCUUCUGACUGCUUUCUGGUUAUUGUUACUAGCUCUAGAAUGCCCUUACGAUCUUCUCUCGUAGGAUCAUAACUUUGUUAAAUUUUACUAGCUCACUUGUUUUUUCCAUGGGUCUAAAGAUUUUUGUUAUAUAGUUUGUUCAGUAAUAAAUAUAACAGUUUAUAUUUCUGAAUAAA